rnacentral:lncRNA from 1 species
CGUAUCGUUGACUCCGCUGUGAGAUUUACACAAUAAGCGUGCUACAUCUGCCAGUCUCUCUCUCUCUCUCUCUCUCCCUCUCGAUUUUUCAUCUCGCUCGCACUCGCCUCUCGACUCUCUCACGAGACACUAAACGCACUCGAUCACUAUUAUUUCGGCGAGCUUGCCGCGACGAUCUUUCGCCUCUGCGAGCACACCUCCGAAGCGAACUCCAACGAGGAGCCUCGCAUUUCGAAAGUUUCUCGAAAUACUGGCUUUAAGGCUCUGUGACGAGGAGCUACGCCCCGAUAACGGCCCCGAGAGCACGAGGAGACCACGCACCGAGGGAACGGCAAGCCAGCGUCGAUUUUCCGCUCCCCGAACGACGUUCGGGGCGUUCCUGGAAAGUCCAAAAGUCGUUGAGGGUGACAAGCGUUAGAGCCUUUUUCGAUGUGCAGCUGAACUCUGUUUGUCCACACUUUGUUAAACACAAAAAAAAAACACGAAUUCGCGAGAGCUACUUCCAAUUUGGAAUGAGAAAAAAAAACAGACAACGCGCGCUCCCGUGCUACGGCUCGUCCCGCCAAAAGUUGAUCCCAUGACCUGCCACUUCCGAAGUCGAGCACUUCAGUUCUGUCGCAGACAUUACGAAAAUUCGUUCGAACGCACACAUUUUUAUGAGAUGGCAAGAAAAUUAGUCUCUCUGCAGUCGAAGAGCGAACGUCGCAGGAAUCGUAUCGCUGCGGGACCGCUCGAACCACGAAUUGCUUCUCAACUCUUAAUAUUCCCUGCAAAGCGGUUUUUUUCUCGCACAAAGUGUCAAGUUUUCACAAACGCGGUUGAAAUUGCCGGAAAAAUCGCGUCCGAUAUUCGGAAAAAUAAUUUAGUGAUCGAAUACAUUUGAAAUAUACAAAAAAAGAUGGCGAAACGAAGAAUUCAUCACGCGCGUGAACAUGUUUCCAAAAAAGGACGCGCGGGUGCGCGCGCGCAUGGGCCGCGCGCGAGCGACGAAGCCAAUCGUCGCAGAGCUUCGCAGCAAUCGCAGUUCACAGUUCGCACUGCUCGAAGCUCUCCGAAGCUCAUUUUCGCCAGUUGACGAUCGUCUCUCGUAUGGGGUAGUUCGCGUCUUCUCAUUUUACUUUCAUCUUCAGUUUCGAAUUUUCGAAUUCUUGCGUAUCGUCGAAAAUUGUCAGAAUGUCUUUGUUCGCGAUUGUGGCGCGAGAAAAACGAAAUAAAUAACUUGUGCAAUCGUUGUCUACGAUUUUCUAAGAUACACGCCUUUUGCAGGUAUAAAGUCUAAAGUCCGGCGCUCUCAUUGUUCUAUAUCUCGUGUGUGAAGAAUAGAAAAAAAACACCAAAUGAAAAACACGUGACCGGCGCGACAAAUUUGUUGCGAAAUUCUAUGCGUAAUAAUCGACGGAUUAAUUUCGGCCUGUCGUGACCCCCGGCUCUGCUAUUUUGUUGAGUAUUGUAUUACUCUCAAAUGGGAAAAACGAGCUGUGGCCUCAAUGAGUCGCUGCAUCAAGAAUGGCAGAAAGGAAAAAGGCUGCACACACGGCCUCGUAUGAAACUGGAUCCUAUUAAGGAUUUUUUAACGUGACCACAGUCCCUUAUCAUUCUCCUGUCCGGUGUUUAUGUUUAUUCGCUACUGGACGGAGAACUGAUAAGGGCCCAAGGGUUGCAGAAUCAUCAGAAAUUUUUCCUCUGUAUGCUGAUCCAAAAUUCUUGGCACAUCAAAAACAACAAAACACUCGGCUCAAGAAACCAUCCGGGAAAAAAAGAAGAAAUAUGUCGAGUUUUGAGAAUGAUUUUUAUUGUGUGAAAAACAAAAAGGGAACCUGAAUUCAGUUCAUCAUUUUGGUCUUGGUGGAAUGAGUGAAAAAAAAUUUUGUUGGAUACUCGCAAUGCUUUUGUGGAAAAAUGACAAAAAUUCUCGGGUUCUGGACUAAUCGGGGGGGUGGCCUCCUGAGAAAUUUCGACAAGAAAUAAUUAAACUUUGUUCUUCAAUCUUGUAACAAGUUUUUAUUAAGCUAUGCAUUUUGUAUCUACUUAUGCUCUAGUUUUUUGUAAAUAAAAAUAAAAACGAUUAAAAUAUUCUGAUUAAUAAAAGAAUUACCAGAUUCUCA